rnacentral:rRNA from 1 species
GACGAACGCUGGCGGCGUGCUUAACACAUGCAAGUCGAACGGAAAGGCCCUGCUUUUGUGGGGUGCUCGAGUGGCGAACGGGUGAGUAACACGUGAGUAACCUGCCCUUGACUUUGGGAUAACUUCAGGAAACUGGGGCUAAUACCGGAUAGGAGCUCCUGCUGCACGGUGGGGGUUGGAAAGUUUCGGCGGUUGGGGAUGGACUCGCGGCUUAUCAGCUUGUUGGUGGGGUAGUGGCUUGCCAAGGCUUUGACGGGUAGCCGGCCUGGGAGGGUGACCGGCCACAUUGGGACUGAGAUACGGCCCAGACUCCUACGGGAGGCAGCAGUGGGGAAUAUUGCACAAUGGGCGGAAGCCUGAUGCAGCAACGCCGCGUGCGGGAUGACGGCCUUCGGGUUGUAAACCGCUUUCGCCUGUGACGAAGCGUGAGUGACGGUAAUGGGUAAAGAAGCACCGGCUAACUACGUG